AGCAAGACUCUGUCUCAAAAAAAGCAAAACAAAACAAGAAGACAAAAACAAAAAAAAAAAUUUAACAUUUCAUUGUACUUACCUUUUAAAAAACUUUUCUUUAUUUCCCUUUCCAGUGGAAAGCCUGGGUGGUUUUUGUUUUUGUCUUCACUAAUUGAAGGCUUAAUUCACCACUCAUUCCUGGGGUUCUAUUUGUUUUUUCCUAUAAGACCCUACUUUGCCAAUUGUCUUUCUCUUUCCUUUCUUGAAACUCUCUCCACAGCUUAUAAGCACGCCAACUUUAUUUCUUGUAAAAGAAACAAACAAAACAAAGCAAAAUUGUCUUCAGUUGUGCUUCUCUUCAAGUUACUAUCCUAUAUAUUUUCUCUUCUUCAUGUCAGGCAAUAGAAUUUUCUGCAAGAGUUUCUUUAAUUCCUCAGCUCCUAUUCACUCCCUGACCCACUGUGUCCUCGCUUCUGCCCUACCAUGUCAUUGAAACUGCCCUCAUCUUGGUCACCAAUGAUCUGCUUUUGCUAAGUAAUGACUAACAAUAACAAUAAUAUUUAGAAUUUAAUGAGGGCUCAUUAUCCAUCAGAAACUGUCCUAGGUAAGUACUCAUAUAUCCACAAUCUCGUUUGUCCUUUCAGCAGCCAUAUGAGAUAGAUACUGAGAUUGUUCCCAACUUAUAGAUGACUAAAUAGCCUUUGAAAAGUAAGAUAAGGAUUACAUAGCCAUAAACUGCUGAGCCAGGACUCAAACCCAAUUCUUUUUCACUCCAGUACCAGUUAUUAAAUCACUUUAGCUCAUGUACUAAUACACUCUCUGUCUCUCUGCAAAAUUUGCCCAUAG
rnacentral:lncRNA from 10 species